rnacentral:rRNA from 1 species
CCUACGGGCGACAGCAGUGAGGAAUAUUGGUCAAUGGACGAGAGUCUGAACCAGCCAAGUAGCGUGAAGGAUGACUGCCCUAUGGGUGGUAAACUUCUUUUAUAUGGGAAUAAAAUGUUCCACGUGUGGGAUUUUGUAUGUACCAUAUGAAUAAGGAUCGGCUAACUCCGUGCCAGCAGCCGCGGUAAUACGGAGGAUCCGAGCGUUAUCCGGAUUUAUUGGGUUUAAAGGGAGCGUAGGUGGAUUGUUAAGUCAGUUGUGAAAGUUUGCGGCUCAACCGUAAAAUUGCAGUUGAAACUGGCAGUCUUGAGUACAGUAGAGGUGGGCGGAAUUCGUGGUGUAGCGGUGAAAUGCUUAGAUAUCACGAAGAACUCCGAUUGCGAAGGCAGCUCACUGGACUGCAACUGACACUGAGGCUCGAAAGUGUGGGUAUCAAACAGGAUUAGAUACCCCGGUAGUC